GGGAACUCAAAGGAGACUGCCAGUGAUAAACUGGAGGAAGGUGGGGAUGACGUCAAGUCAUCAUGGCCCUUACGACCAGGGCUACACACGUGCUACAAUGGCGCAUACAAAGAGAAGCGACCUCGCGAGAGCAAGCGGACCUCAUAAAGUGCGUCGUAGUCCGGAUUGGAGUCUGCAACUCGACUCCAUGAAGUCGGAAUCGCUAGUAAUCGUGGAUCAGAAUGCCACGGUGAAUACGUUCCCGGGCCUUGUACACACCGCCCGUCACACCAUGGGAGUGGGUUGCAAAAGAAGUAGGUAGCUUAACCUUCGGGAGGGCGCUUACCACUUUGUGAUUCAUGACUGGGGUGAAGUCGUAACAAGGUAACCGUAGGGGAACCUGC
rnacentral:rRNA from 9 species